AUAUCUUUUAAAAGGACAAGACAAGAUCUAGUAUCUGCUCUUAUCAGCUUAAUAUCUGAUACGAUUUUCAUUGAGAAUCCGGAAUAUUAAAUUGAUUUUUAAAACUUUGCAAUAAUCUGGAGCUCGCUCUAGUUUUGUCGCAAUUUUACUGGGUUUUUUGUCUAAAAGCCAAG